rnacentral:rRNA from 1 species
AUUGAACGCUGGCGGCAGGCCUAACACAUGCAAGUCGAGCGGAUGAAGGGAGCUUGCUCCUGGAUUCAGCGGCGGACGGGUGGGUAAUGCCUAGGAAUCUGCCUGGUAGUGGGGGAUAACGUCCGGAAACGGGCGCUAAUACCGCAUACGUCCUGAGGGAGAAAGUGGGGGAUCUUCGGACCUCACGCUAUCAGAUGAGCCUAGGUCGGAUUAGCUAGUUGGUGGGGUAAAGGCCUACCAAGGCGACGAUCCGUAACUGGUCUGAGAGGAUGAUCAGUCACACUGGAACUGAGACACGGUCCAGACUCCUACGGGAGGCAGCAGUGGGGAAUAUUAGACAAUGGGCGAAAGCCUGAUCCAGCCAUGCCGCGUGUGUGAAGAAGGUCUUCGGAUUGUAAAGCACUUUAAGUUGGGAGGAAGGGCAGUGAGUUAAUACCUUGCUGUUUUGACGUUACCAACAGAAUAAGCACCGGCUAACUUCGUG